rnacentral:rRNA from 1 species
AAACGGAUGCUAAAACCGCAUAGGUCUUCGAACCGCAUGGUUUGAAGAGGAAAAGAGGCGCAAGCUUCUGCUGAUGGAUGGACCCGCGGUGCAUUAGCUAGUUGGUGAGGUAACGGCUCACCAAGGCCGUGAUGCAUAGCCGACCUGAGAGGGUGAUCGGCCACAUUGGGACUGAGACACGGCCCAAACUCCUACGGGAGGCAGCAGUAGGGAAUCUUCCGCAAUGGACGCAAGUCUGACGGAGCAACGCCGCGUGAGUGAAGAAGGUUUUCGGAUCGUAAAACUCUGUUGUUAGAGAAGAACAAGUGCUAGAGUAACUGUUAGCGCCUUGACGGUAUCUAACCAGAAAGCCACGGCUAACUACGUGCCAGCAGCCGCGGUAAUACGUAGGUGGCAAGCGUUGUCCGGAUUUAUUGGGCGUAAAGCGAGCGCAGGCGGUUCCUUAAGUCUGAUGUGAAAGCCCCCGGCUCAACCGGGGAGGGUCAUUGGAAACUGGGGAACUUGAGUGCAGAAGAGGAGAGUGGAAUUCCAUGUGUAGCGGUGAAAUGCGUAGAUAUAUGGAGGAACACCAGUGGCGAAGGCGACUCUCUGGUCUGUAACUGACGCUGAGGCUCGAAAGCGUGGGUAGCAAACAGGAUUAGAUACCCUGGUAGUCCACGCCGUAAACGAUGAGUGCUAAGUGUUGGAGGGUUUCCGCCCUUCAGUGCUGCAGUUAACGCAUUAAGCACUCCGCCUGGGGAGUACGACCGCAAGGUUGAAACUCAAAGGAAUUGACGGC